CCAAUAGCGUAUAUUAAAGUUGUUGCAGUUAAAAAGCUCGUAGUUGAAUUUCGGGAUCAAUACGUCGGUCGUGCCUCGGUACGUACUGGCGUCAUUGAUUUCUCCCUUCUGAAGAACCGUGAUGCCAUUAACUUGGUGUCAUGGGAAAUCAGGACUGUUACUUUGAAAAAAUUAGAGUGUUUAAAGCAGGCUCACGCUUGAAUACAUUAGCAUGGAAUAAUGAAAUAGGACGUUCGACCCUAUUUUGUUGGUUUCUAGGAUCAACGUAAUGAUUAAUAGGGAUAGUUGGGGGCAUUAGUAUUCAAUUGUCAGAGGGGAAAUUCUUGGAUUUAUUGAAGACUAACUACUGCGAAAGCAUUUGCCAAGGAUGUUUUCAUUAAUCAAGAACGAAAGUUAGGGGAUCGAAGACGAUCAGAUACCGUCGUAGUCUUAACCAUAAACUAUGCCGACUAGGGAUCGGAUGAUGUUAAUUUUUUAAUGACUCAUUCGGCGCCUUACG
rnacentral:rRNA from 1 species